GUUGUGCUACUACGUAGAAAUCUAUGGUUAUCGCGUUAAUUUUAGGCCAUCGGUGCUAACUGAACGUCAAAUCCGGUUUUUUAUUUAACAGAAAACUAGAGGACAACAAUAUGAGAGACAAGUGGAGGAAGAAGCGUAUGCGAAGGCUGAAGCGUAAGCGAAGAAAGAUGCGAGCAAGAUCUAAUUAGAUACAGACUCUGCAGAAGGGAUGGUGUUCAGCACAUGUUCAUAUCCAGAACCCAGUUCCUGUGUGUGCUCAGACAGACAUGAUUGCUUUUAACCCAUAACAUUACCACAGUGGACUUGAUUUGCUCCUUAUGAAGGCAACAAGUUUUGCAAGAGAAGUUCCUGGAUUUUCAACAGCACAAUCUAAACUAUGGAACAUGUUGUUAGAGCAUCAAGGACAUGUUUUAAUCCAAUGGAUACAGCUUGAUAACUCCUGAACACUGCGAUAGGUUCCAUCAUUCGGGACAUGGUUAUUCACUAUCCCUCUGUUGAAAUUUGUUUUCGUCUAGCAUACAGUCAUUAAAAGUAGCAUUUGCUCCA